rnacentral:rRNA from 1 species
CCCUUAGAUGUUCUCGGCCGCACACGCGCUACACUGAAAGAGGCAACGUGUUUGCCUGAUUCGAAAGAAUUGGGUAACCCCCUAAUCUCUUUCGUGCUGGGGAUUGAGGUUUGCAAUUAUCCUUCAUGAACGAGGAAUUCCAAGUAAGUGCGAGUCAUUAUCUCGCGCUGACUACGUCCCUGCCCUUUGUACACACCGCCCGUCGCUACUACCGAUUGAAUGAUUUAGUGAGGACUUCGGACUGAGUCCAAUGCGGCUUUCGGGCUGCGUUGGUAUUUCGGAAAGAUGUCCAAACUGUAUCAUUUAGAGGAAGUAAAAGUCGUAACA